UACAGAGGUCCCGAGCGUUGUUCGGAUUCACUGGGCGUAAAGGGUGCGUAGGUGGUGAGGUAAGUCGGAUGUGAAAGCUCCAAGCUCAACUUGGAAAUGGCAUUGGAAACUACCUUGCUAGAGGGUUUGAGGGGGGACUGGAAUACUUGGUGUAGCAGUGAAAUGCGUAGAUAUCAGGAGGAACAUCGGUGGCGAAGGCGGAUCUCUGGGCCUGUCCUGACGCUCAGGCGCGAAAGCUAGGGGAGCGAACAGG
rnacentral:rRNA from 1 species